UACGUAGGGGGCAAGCGUUGUCCGGAAUCAUUGGGCGUAAAGAGCGUGUAGGCGGUCCGGUCAGUCGGUUGUGAAAGUCAAGGGCUCAACCCCUUGAAUGCCGGCCGAUACUGCCGGGCUAGAGUCCGGAAGAGGUGAGUGGAAUUCCUGGUGUAGCGGUGAAAUGCGCAGAUAUCAGGAGGAACACCGAUGGCGAAGGCAGCUCACUGGGACGGUACUGACGCUGAGACGCGAAAGCGUGGGGAGCGAACAGG
rnacentral:rRNA from 1 species